rnacentral:rRNA from 1 species
GUUUGAUCAUGGCUCAGGACGAACGCUGGCGGCGUGCCUAAUACAUGCAAGUCGAGCGGACGUUUUUGAAGCUUGCUUCAAAAACGUUAGCGGCGGACGGGUGAGUAACACGUGGGCAACCUACCUUAUCGACUGGGAUAACUCCGGGAAACCGGGGCUAAUACCGGAUAACAUCUAGCACCUCCUGGUGCCGGAUUAAAAGAGGGCUUCUUGCUCUCACGAUGAGAUGGGCCCGCGGCGCAUUAGCUAGUUGGAGAGGUAACGGCUCCCCAAGGCGACGAUGCGUAGCCGACCUGAGAGGGUGAUCGGCCACACUGGGACUGAGACACGGCCCAGACUCCUACGGGAGGCAGCAGUAGGGAAUCUUCCGCAAUGGACGAAAGUCUGACGGAGCAACGCCGCGUGAGUGAUGAAGGGUUUCGGCUCGUAAAGCUCUGUUAUGAGGGAAGAACAUGUACCGUUCGAAUAGGGCGGUACCUUGACGGUACCUCAUCAGAAAGCCACGGCUAACUACGUGCCAGCAGCCGCGGUAAUACGUAGGUGGCAAGCGUUGUCCGGAAUUAUUGGGCGU